GGAACAUGGAACAUUGAGCUCUCAAUGGGUCCCCUUCUCUUCCCAAACCUCAGGUUCUCCAUCCAUAAAGUAAGGGCUUUAGAGGUCCGAUGGCACGUUCCACACCAGUAGUCCCAUGCUCCUAGGAUGUUCAGUGUUUGUCUAUGUCUAGUUAAAGCCAGAAUGGAGCAAUCGUCUUCCCUAUUUAGGCCAACAGAGAGACCUUUAGCCAAUUAGAGAUGAAACUGAGCAAGAGAAAAGACCUGAGACAGUCUUUGAUGAAAUCUACUCUAUGUGAUAUACUUCCUUCUCUUUCUCACUGCAUUUGUCCCCCAUUGCCUUUGUAGCCCCACCAAACCCUCCAAGACCAAGAGGAGAGAAUUCUCCAGAACUCAUUCAUUAGGAUCUGGCACUGAAAAAGGAGAGAGAGUGUGUGUCUUGUUGAAAUGCUGGAUGAGAGGGUCAGCAAUAGUGUGUGAACCAAUAUUUAGAGCCAUAGCAAGGGAGUCAAAAUAAAGGAGGCCAGCUCCAUUGAGAGAGAGAGAGA